CCUACGGGAGGCAGCAGUAGGGAAUUUUCCACAAUGGGCGAAAGCCUGAUGGAGCAACGCCGCGUGCAGGAUGAAGGUCUUCGGAUUGUAAACUGCUUUUACGAGUGAAGAAUAUGACGGUAGCUCGUGAAUAAGGAUCGGCUAACUCCGUGCCAGCAGCCGCGGUAAU
rnacentral:rRNA from 1 species